AUGAACGCUAGCUACAGGCUUAACACAUGCAAGUCGAGGGGCAUCAUGGGGUUUGCUUGCAAGCCCUGAUGGCGACCGGCGCACGGGUGAGUAACGCGUAUCCAACCUGCCCCCGAGUAGGGAACAGCCCGGCGAAAAGUCGGAUUAAUGCCCUAUGUAUCCCAUGACGGCAUCAGAAUGGGAUGAAAGAUUAAUCGCUUGGGGAUGGGGAUGCGUAGGAUUAGCUUGCAGGCGGGUAACGGCCCACCUGGGCAUCGAUCCUUAGGGGUUCUGAGAGGAAGGUCCCCCACACUGGUACUGAGACACGGACCAGACUCCUACGGGAGGCAGCAGUGAGGAAUAUUGGUCAAUGGGCGUGAGCCUGAACCAGCCAAGUAGCGUGCAGGAUGACGGCCCUACGGGUUGUAAACUGCUUUUAUGCGUGGAUAAAGUGGCCUACGUGUAGGCUAUUGCAGGUAUCGCAUGAAUAAGGACCGGCUAAUUCCGUGCC
rnacentral:rRNA from 1 species